UAAAAAAAAUUAAAAGUCCACUUUUUUUUCUGGGGUAUUAAUAUGUUUCCAGCCUUGUGCUGAUGAUUAUCUUCCAGCACAACUGCUCUUUUACCAGUUACACGAGUUGAACCACUGAGCUGGUGGCUGCUUGGGGAGUGAAAAGAGCCCUUGCUCAAGUAUGUGAUAUCCUUGUAGAUAAAAAUCUCUUUAUUUCAUUUAACAAAUAUUUAUGGAACACCUAUUAUGCACAGGUAGUGUUCCAGGCACUGGGUAUACAAACGGGAACAAAACAGAUAAGGUUCUUGCUCUCAUGGAGUUGACAUUUUGAGAUGGGAGAAAACAGAAAAAAAAAAAUUUAGCUUUAUGGCAAGUGGUAACAAGUGUCAUGAAGAAAAAAUAAUAGACUAAAGGAGGGUGAACUGUUUUAUAUAAAGUGCUAUUUUACACCAGGGUCGGCAGCUCCGAUGAGGUGACUCUUGAACAAAAACUUGAAAGAAGUAAGAAAUCCCUGUGAUAUUUGGGGGCAAGCUUUUCCUGUAAGAGAGAACCGGAAAUGCAAGAGCCCUGAGGCAAGAGUGUAUUUGAGGUGCUUGACGACAGCGAAGAAACCUUUAAGGAAGGAAGCGGUGGAAACAGAGAGUAAAGGAGAUUGCAUCAGAGAGGUGGGAGGCAGAUCAUGUGGGGCCUUGCAGUCAGGGUAAGAGCGCUUUGGAUUUUAGUCUAAGUAAAAUGAGAAAACUUUAGAGGGUUUUGAGUAGGGAGGGAAAUGACAUGAUCUGACGUGUUUUAAAAAGUUUAUUCUGACUGUAUAAUAGCAAGUGUGGAAGCAGAGAGAAUUAGGAGAUAUCACUAAAAUUUUGGGAACAGGAGAUAGUGACUUCUUCCAGGAGAGUGGCAAUGGAUGUGGUGAGAAGUGACUGGAAUCUCAAUAUAUUUUGAAGAUGGAGCAAACAAGAUACAUUGAUGCAUUUGAUAUGGAGUACGAAAUAAAGAGCAGUUAAGAAAGACUCCACAGUGUGGGGCCUAAAGGUUGGAGACGUCAUUUCUGAGAUGAGGAAGAUGGCAGGAGGAGCUGGCUGGAGUGAUCCUACCCUCUCCAAGGACUGCUGGAAGGUUCUGAAGGGCAACGUAUGUCAAGCACAAAGAAGAGUACAGAGAGACUACAAGGGGAGUCAGGACAAGAGGAGGAGAGCGGACAGAGCCUGAAAAUUGUAAUGUCUCCCAACUUUAAAGAAAGUCCAAUUAUUCAUAAAGCUGAGCUGUGCAGAGGAUUACAUGCUGACCGACCAUAACAGCUGCUAGACACAAACUACGUUUUAUCAAAGUUACCAGAGGGAAGAGUAUCGAGGCCUUCUUCCUGCCCUUUCUUUUUGGCUGUUUAGAAGGAUGGUUUUAUAAACAGUUCCCCUUUUACAGUGAAGCAGCUCAUUCUUAUAGGGCUGGUAAACAGCAGUAGAGCACAAUUGAGCAAGACUGCCUCAGGACUGAGGGCAUAGGUAUCAGAGUUUUAAUCCCAGCUCUGUGCCUAAUUUGCUAUUUAGGUCAAGACUGCAGCAUGACUAACACUCCUUGUGGCAGCUUUACUGUCAAUACUAAUUCCUAAACAUCUGUUUAGCUACAGCCACUCAGAAGGGUCCAGCAUUCACAUAUUCGCAUUGACUAAUUCUCUCACCACAGAGUGAGGGCAGCGGGGAGGAACAAAGGAUAGAAAAUAACAUUUAUUUAUUUUUCCCAUUGGCCAGACCCUGUGAUAGUUUUUAUAUAAGUUAUCUAGACUGGAUUCUUGCCACCGUGCUAUAAAUAACUAAUGGGAAAGCUCGGACCAGUCCCUCCCUAACUCUAUUUUCUCUUCUGCAAAGUGAGGGUGUUAGAACUGAUAAUUUCUAUUGACCUGUCCAAUUCUAACAUUCUGUAGAUGUAAUGAUUCUCUUAAUCAGGUCACAUACAAUUUUAUUUCAUUUUCUGUUUUUGUUGCUGUUAGCCUUGACUACAGCAGGGUCUCCAAAUAGGGAAACUAUUGUUGUUAUUAGUUGCCCUUGAGUCAGCUCUGACUCAUAGUGACUUUGUCUAACAGAACUAAACAUUGCCCAGUUUUCACGAUUAUUGGCAUGUUUGAGUCCAUUGUUGUG